rnacentral:rRNA from 1 species
GGGAGCACAGGUUUACCUGUGUGACUGCGUACCUUUUGUAUAAUGGGUCAGCGACUUAUAUUCUGUAGCAAGGUUAACCGUAUAGGGGAGCCGAAGGGAAACCGAGUCUUAACCGGGCGUUAAGUUGCAGGGUAUAGACCCGAAACCCGGUGAUCUAGCCAUGGGCAGGUUGAAGGUUGGGUAACACUAACUGGAGGACCGAACCGACUAAUGUUGAAAAAUUAGCGGAUGACCUGUGGCUGGGGGUGAAAGGCCAAUCAAACCGGGAGAUAGCUGGUUCUCCCCGAAAGCUAUUUAGGUAGCGCCUCGUGAAUUCAUCUCCGGGGGUAGAGCACUGUUUCGGCUAGGGGGCCAUCCCGGCUUACCAACCCGAUGCAAACUGCGAAUACCGGAGAAUGUUAUCACGGGAGACACACGGCGGGUGCUAACGUCCGUCGUGAAGAGGGAAACAACCCAGACCGCCAGCUAAGGUCCCAAAGUCAUGGUUAAGUGGGAAACGAUGUGGGAAGGCCCAGACAGCCAGGAUGUUGGCUUAGAAGCAGCCAUCAUUUAAAGAAAGCGUAAUAGCUCACUGGUCGAGUCGGCCUGCGCG